GAUGAACGCUGGCGGCGUGCCUAAUACAUGCAAGUCGAGCGAACGGACGAGAAGCUUGCUUCUCUGAUGUUAGCGGCGGACGGGUGAGUAACACGUGGAUAACCUACCUAUAAGACUGGGAUAACUUCGGGAAACCGGAGCUAAUACCGGAUAAUAUUUUGAACCGCAUGGUUCAAAAGUGAAAGACGGUCUUGCUGUCACUUAUAGAUGGAUCCGCGCUGCAUUAGCUAGUUGGUAAGGUAACGGCUUACCAAGGCAACGAUGCAUAGCCGACCUGAGAGGGUGAUCGGCCACACUGGAACUGAGACACGGUCCAGACUCCUACGGGAGGCAGCAGUAGGGAAUCUUCCGCAAUGGGCGGAAGCCUGACGGAGCAGCGCCGCGUGAGUGAUGAAGGUCUUCGGAUCGUAAAACUCUGUUAUUAGGGAAGAACAUAUGUGUAAGUAACUGUGCACAUCUUGACGGUACCUAAUCAGAAAGCCACGGCUAACUACGUG
rnacentral:rRNA from 1 species